rnacentral:rRNA from 1 species
UGGGGAAUUUUGGACAAUGGGCGAAAGCCUGAUCCAGCAAUGCCGCGUGUGUGAAGAAGGCCUUCGGGUUGUAAAGCACUUUUGUCCGGAAAGAAAUCCUUGGCUCUAAUACAGUCGGGGGAUGACGGUACCGGAAGAAUAAGCACCGGCUAACUACGUGCCAGCAGCCGCGGUAAUACGUAGGGUGCAAGCGUUAAUCGGAAUUACUGGGCGUAAAGCGUGCGCAGGCGGUUUGCUAAGACCGAUGUGAAAUCCCCGGGCUCAACCCGGGAACUGCAUUGGUGACUGGCAGGCUAGAGUAUGGCAGAGGGGGGUAGAAUUCCACGUGUAGCAGUGAAAUGCGUAGAGAUGUGGAGGAAUACCGAUGGCGAAGGCAGCCCCCUGGGCCAAUACUGACGCUCAUGCACGAAAGCGUGGGGAGCAAACAGGAUUAGAUACCCUGGUAGUCCACGCCCUAAACGAUGUCAACUAGUUGUUAGGGAUUCAUUUCCUUAGUAACGUAGCUAACGCGUGAAGUUGACCGCCUGGGGAGUACGGUCGCAAGAUUAAAACUUAAAGGAAUUGACGGGGUCAUAGCUG